CCUACGGGUGACAGCAGUAGGGAAUUUUCGUCAAUGGGCGCAAGCCUGAACGAGCAAUGCCGCGUGAACGAGGAAGGUCUUCGGAUCGUAAAGUUCUGUUGAAGUGGAAAAAGAGCGGAGAGAGGAAAUGGUCUCCGAUUGAUAUUACCCUUCGAGGAAGUCACGGCAAAAUACGUGCCAGCAGCCGCGGUAAUACGUAGGUGGCAGGCGUUAUCCGGAAUGAUUGGGCGAAAGGGGUGGGUAGGCGGCCUGCUAAGUCUGGAGUGAAAGGUACCGGCUCAACCGUUACAGGCACUGGAAACUGGCGGGCUAGAGAGCAGGAGAGGGCGGUGGAACUCCAUGUGUAGCGGUAAAAUGCGUAGAUAUAUGGAAGAACACCAGUGGCGAAGGCGGCCGCCUGGCCUGUUACUGACGCUGAGGCACGAAAGCGUGGGGAGCAAAUAGGAUUAGAUACCCUUGUAGUC
rnacentral:rRNA from 1 species